CGUCAAAUCAUCAUGCCCCUUAUGUCCUGGGCUACACACGUACUACAAUGGCUGUUAACAGAGGGACGCAAUACAGUGAUGUGGAGCAAAUCCCCAAAAGCAGUCUCAGUUCAGAUUGUAGGCUGAAACUCGCCUAUAUGAAGUCGGAAUUGCUAGUAAUCGCGAAUCAGCAUGUCGCGGUGAAUACGUUCCCGGGCCUU
rnacentral:rRNA from 1 species